rnacentral:rRNA from 1 species
UACGUAGGGUGCGAGCGUUAAUCGGAAUUACUGGGCGUAAAGCGUGCGCAGGCGGUUUUGUAAGCCAGGUGUGAAAUCCCCGGGCUCAACCUGGGAAUGGCAUUUGGGACUGCAAGGCUGGAGUGCGGCAGAGGAGACUGGAAUUCCUGGUGUAGCAGUGAAAUGCGUAGAUAUCAGGAGGAACACCGAUGGCGAAGGCAGGUCUCUGGGCUGACACUGACGCUCAUGCACGAAAGCGUGGGGAGC